GAUGAAGAACGCAGCGAAAUGCGAUAAGUAGUGUGAAUUGCAGAAUUCAGUGAAUCAUCGAAUCUUUGAACGCACAUUGCGCCCUUUGGUAUUCCAAAGGGCAUGCCUGUUCGAGCGUCAUUUGUACCCUCAAGCUUUGCUUGGUGUUGGGCGUCUUGUCUCUAGCUUUGCUGGAGACUCGCCUUAAAGUAAUUGGCAGCCGGCCUACUGGUUUCGGAGCGCAGCACAAGUCGCACUCUCUAUCAGCAAAGGUCUAGCAUCCAUUAAGCCUUUUUUUCAACUUUUGACCUCGGAUCAGGUAGGGAUACCCGCUGAACUUAAGCAUAUCAAUAAGCGGAAGA
rnacentral:misc_RNA from 1 species